rnacentral:rRNA from 1 species
GAUGAACGCUGGCGGCGUGCCUAAUACAUGCAAGUCGAGCGAAGCGGGGACGGGUGAGUAACACGUGGAGAACAUCCUAUAAGACUGGGAUAAAUUCGGGAAACCGGAGCUAAACCGGACACUUAUAGAUGGAUCCGCGCUGCAUUAGCUAGUUGGUAAGGUAACGGCUUAACAAGGCCACGAUGCAUAGCCGACCUGAGAGGGUGAUCGGCCACACUGGAACUGAGAACCGGUCCCGACUCCGUCGGGAGGCAGCAGUAGGGAAUCUUCGGCAAUGGGGGGAACCCUGACCGAUCAACGCCGCGGGAGUGAAGAAGGUUUUCGGAUCGUAAAGCUCUGUUGUUAAGGAAGCGGUACUUAACCAGAAAGGGACGGCUAACUACGUGCCAGCCGCCGCGGUAAUUC